rnacentral:rRNA from 2 species
UCCCACUAUCAUACCAGCACUAAUGCACUGGAUACCAUCAGAAUUCCACAGUUAAACGUGUUUGGAUAAGAAUAGUAUUAGGAAGGAUGACCUCUCGAAAAACUCUCGUGUUAC